UUCGGAUGCUGACGAGUGGCGAACGGGUGAGUAAUACAUCGGAACGUGCCCGAGAGUGGGGGAUAACGGAGCGAAAGCUUUGCUAAUACCGCAUACGAUCUACGGAUGAAAGCAGGGGACCGCAAGGCCUUGCGCUCAUGGAGCGGCCGAUGGCAGAUUAGGUAGUUGGUGGGAUAAAAGCUUACCAAGCUUACGAUCUGUAGCUGGUCUGAGAGGACGACCAGCCACACUGGGACUGAGACACGGCCCAGACUCCUACGGGAGGCAGCAGUGGGGAAUUUUGGACAAUGGGCGAAAGCCUGAUCCAGCCAUGCCGCGUGCAGGAUGAAGGCCUUCGGGGUUGUAAACUGCUUUUGUACGGAACGAAAAGACUCUGGUUAAUACCUGGGGUCCAUGACGGUACCGUAAGAAUAAGCACCGGCUAACUACGUGCCAGCAGCCGCGGUAAUACGUAGGGUGCAAGCGUUAAUCGGAAUUACUGGGCGUAAAGCGUGCGGUCGACGCGGCCG
rnacentral:rRNA from 1 species